UCCUUCGCCAGCUGGGAACGAAAAACCACAAAGUUCUCAUUUGAAUUCUUCUUGUUACAAAGAGGGGCAGUGCAGAAAAAUAUAUAGAUUGUUCUGUGGUAGCAUGUUUCUUUAAUAACUCUGGUUCCUGCUUCAUCAUCAUCAUCAGGAGCAUAGACUUGGGCCAAAAAUGUAACAGGUUUUUGACAGCACCUUUAAAAGAUUAAUAUUUUAGCACUACACAUAAAAAUUAUGUUGAUUCUGUAUGUGACUUUGAGUGUUAUGUCUGGGAAUAUUAUAUGUAGAAAAAUUAUAAUUUCUAAUAAAAUUUUGCAACACAAACUUGCACAGAAGUUGUUCUGUAGGUGGCAAGUUCUUCAAAUCUAACCAAGCUGGCUUUCCACCAACUUUGCUUGGGAAAAAUCUACUCUCUAAGCGCCAUUUGUCCGUCUUGUCUAGGAACCCUAUUGCAGAAAUCAUGUUAUGUUCAACAAGACGAAAAAAAUAAACUCCAAAUUCAUUCAGCCUUGUCUCACCUAACUCGGCUCCAAACUUUUCGUGCACAAACGGUCCGGCCAUACCUUAAAAUGAUUAAGCGAAUUUCCUAUAGUUAACCCUGUCUUUCUGUUUUAUCUUUGUCGUAGAUGAUCUUGGGGUCUAGUGGACUUCCUACUUUCUGCCACUGAUUUGUGGUUGUUAUUGAUACUGCACUGCACUGGAAACAUUCCUUCUACACGUGGGAUGCGCUUUAAUUCUAGACGAUUGCAAUGAGGGUCAUUUGUUUUCUACUAAAUGGUAUAAUUCGUCGUGUCAACAUGUUAUUAAAACACAAAAAACACAACUUAUCAACUCAUUUUGAGCUUGGAGAUAAGGCAUCGUCAGGUAUCAUCCGAAACGGGCUAUGAAAGGCACAUAUUAAGGACGGAUGGCAGAAGUUGUAAAAAUGUACGAACUUUUCCCCCAUUCCUAACUUAAAAAAACAAAAAACAAAAAAAAAUGCAAGCUAAUAAAAAACAAAAAACAAACAA